rnacentral:misc_RNA from 1 species
CUUGGGCCCUAGUUCAUUCUAGGCAACCCGAAGACGUGAACCGUGGGAUAGCAAUGCUAGAAGCCUCUCUGGACAGUGGAAGUAGCCCCCUGCAACUGAGGGAGAAGUUUUAUCUUUUAGCUGUUGGGCAUUACAGAAGUGGGGACUACCCAAGGAGUCGGCAGCUUCUAGAACGAUGCUUGGAGAUUGCACCGGAAUGGAG